rnacentral:rRNA from 1 species
GACGAACGCUGGCGGCGUGCUUAACACAUGCAAGUCGAACGAUGAACGCUGGAGCUUGCUCCGCUGGAUCAGUGGCGAACGGGUAAGUAACCCGUGGGCAACCUGCCCCUCACUUCGGGAUAACUCCGGGAAACCGGGGCUAAUACCGGAGAUGACUUCCUUGGGCAUCCUUGGCGGUGGAAAGUUUUCCGGUGAGGGAUGGGCCCGCGGCCCAUGAGUUUGUUGGUGAGGUAGUGGCUCACGAAGGCGACGACGGGUAGCCGGCCUGAGAGGGCGACCGGCCACACUGGGACUGAGACACGGCCCAGACUCCUACGGGAGGCAGCAGUGGGGAAUAUUGCGCAAUGGGCGAAAGCCUGACGCAGCAACGCCGCGUGCGGGAUGACGGCCUUCGGGUUGUAAACCGCUUUCAGCAGGGAAGAAGCCGCAAGGUGACGGUACCUGCAGAAGAAGCACCGGCUAACUACGUGCCAGCAGCCGCCGUAA